rnacentral:lncRNA from 10 species
UCCAGCCUUCCGUCUUCAAGCAACCAUCCUCAAAUUUCAUUUGGACUUGUACUCCUCCCUCAAUCUCUAAACCACUUUAAGCCUAUCAGCCCAUUAUCCUUCCCUGGCCACAAGUAUUGGUUCCAGGGUGGAAUGUGAGCAAAAGUGCUAAAUCAGUGAAUUUUAGAUGUGUUGUGGGGGGUACUUGAAAGAGCUCACUAUUUCUUAUUGCCUUUAUCCUCAGAGGCUUGAGACCCUGGAGUUAGUACAGUCUCUUGCCACCACCAGGACUGAAAAAGGAAGCAGCAUUGAAGAGGCAGAGCUGGGAGACGGAGAGAAACUGCUGGCAUGAUUUGAGCUCAGGGGAUUCUGCACUUCGUCGAAGAUCAAAGCUUAAGACCAACAGGACCCAUUGCUUUUUAAAUAUAGACAGCGGAAAGAAAAUGACUUUGGCUACCUGCAUUUCAAAUCGUACGUGCGGUCUGAGGGAGCACCUGGCACUUGCAAGAAAACAGCAUGCAAAAAUAUUUUGUUCUAUUUUCCCAUUGUAAUCUCUCUUCCAGAUUUUUUUUGUCCCUCCCUUUGUUUUCUUGUCAAGAUUGACAAGCAUCCAUGUGUUACCAAGUGACAUAAAGUUCUUGCUUGAAUAAUCAUGACUAAAAUCCAGGGUAUUUUAAAGCGCAUUAUUGACUUGGAGAGCCACCCACUAGAUUGAAUUCUUCUGAAUUAACAAAGACUGACAGCCUCAGCAAGGUACGUUUACCCUAAACGGUCAGGGCCUCCCAGGUUCCUACCGUAGCCCUGGUGCUGGCCUCUUCUUCCCAGGGCUGUUAUGAUGAGGGUUAUGGAGCUAGAAAGGCUUUUCUCAUUAACAUUACAGAAAACUACAUGUUUAGGAAUUAAACUCUGGAUCAAAAAAGCAGAUGACAAGAAGAGGAACUGAAACUUCUUUUUAUUUAAAGUGGGUAGCACUGCCUUGUUGACCUGCCAUCAGCGUGAACACCAACUAAUGCCGUUCUGGGAUGAGAUGGCAGAACUCAUGGGAUACUUAGAGAGAAAGAGGGGGGCAUUUUUAAUAAAAAGUAGUGAAAUCAUGUUUUACUCUCAGCAUGUACUGAGGCUCUUGGGAAGGGAGUGUGACAAUCUCUGAAGAAAAUUGUUGAAAGGGUCAUUAUGUUGGAAUAUGCUGAACAUGAGGCCUUUACUCCUUUUUCUUUCUCCAGUGCUAGGAGUGGCUACAGAAACUCUGUAUAAAAGGGCUUAGAAACUGCAUUCUGUUUGGAAAGGAGGAGGUGGGAAGGGAACUUACCUGGAAGCAGUAUUUCUCAGCAAGCCCACUGUUUUUAAUUAGGUACUAUUUGUUUAAAGAGUGGCUUGGCUAAUCACCUCCUCCCUCAAACCAAAUGAACCCUUGGUGAAGCCCUUGACUAAUUCCUUGGGCAAUGCAAUUUCCUUUAAAAAAAAAAAUCUUAUGCAUUUAUCAUCUGUAUAAAACAAAGACACGCAAUUGAUACAAAUGUACUGCUCACAGGGUCCAGCAGUUACAACUCCAUUUUAAAAAUAGGCCUUCAUAUGUAUUUAACCACUGAAUGACUUGAUUAAUAUAGCAGAAUGUAUCAAAAUAAAAACUGAUGGAGAAUAUUGGCCAGAUUAUUUCUAAUGAUUUUCAGAAAUACUUGUUUUCCAAAGGGAAUGUGCAAAAAUUAUAAUGCUUUUCAUAGCAUUUUUUGCCAAUGCUUUCCUGAAGGAUAGUUAUCAGCAGAAUACAAAACUAAUCUUUGCAAACAAUCUCUAAGAAAUUGUUUUGCAAACAAUCUCUAAGAAAUUGUUUUGCAAACAAUUCUCAAGAAACUGUUAGAAUGGUCAGUGAGCAAUUCAUCAGGAUUAUAUUGAACUUUUAAAAUGACACCUAGAUUAUAGACAUUCCUAUAAGACAUUCAGGUACAUACAUGUGUGUUUUAGUCACCACAUGCAUGGACAUCUAGAUUCCAACAUUUUCCCUGUGAUUCUUUUUAUACAACACCUUAGAUUACUUGAGCAUUCCAAAUGCUUUGUUACCAGAUUAGGUGUGUUGGUGCAGCACUGCUCAUUGUCCCAUCUCUGGUCCAGUCAGCUUUCCAUUAGCGUGUGCAACAGUUUGCACGUUCUGGAUUUUAUACCAUUUCCCUCAUCUGUGUGUGGGUGUGUCCAGCCUUCCCACUCAAUGAGGUUCUAGACAUCUCACAAUUAGGUGUAGAUACAGUCUCAGUUUCAGGAGCAGCUACCUGACUAUUCCAUAAAGCAGAAUCUGAAAUUGUCAUCUACUCCUCACUUCCCCUACUUCCUUAGGGGAAGAAAUGCGUGAUUUCUCUGGACCAGCACACCCAUAAUUUGCCUCAGUGACAUUCAGAUGGUGUUAUGGGUUUUCACAUUUUUACAGUAGCCUCUGUGGCUAAUAUGAAAAUUUACACCAUGCAUUUCUCCACUCUCUUAAAGCCUACAAUGCUUUUAACUCAAGUGUUCUAUUUUCUAAGAAGUCCCUAACCCCAUCUUGACUAUUUUUAAAAGUAAUUUCCUUUAACUCAAUCUUACUAAUCUAUAACCCCAAACUUUUUCCCAUUCACGUUUUAAAAAAGUAUUUAUCUCUCCUAUUAUUUAUGUAUAAUAUAAAUGCUUGGAUUUUAUUUCUUCUCUAUAAAUCACUAUUAUGUCAUGCUUACACGUAAUGUCUGCCUUAUGUUGUAAGCUUUGAAAGUACAGACUGUAAACAUUAACUUUAUUUUGCACAGCACUGAGCACAAUGUCAUGAUCACUUAAAUGCUGUUGAUGAUGAUGGUGAAGAUGACAAUGAUAACGUAAUGCUGUUCUGGUUUGAAAAUGUCAUGUAAGGAGUCUAGUACAUAUUUUUUAAUGUAAGUUGUUUCUCAUCCUAUAAAGCUGUCAUUCUUCAUUAACAAAAAAAGGUUACAGUAAGUUAUAAUUAGUGUUUAGUGCCCUGUCAAAUAAUUAAGUAUAAUAAAAAGCUUUCAAUGAGCUUAAUGUUAACAUGGGGUAAUUAAAGCCAAGUCUUGAAAUGCAUUAGGUGUCUAUUAUGUCAGAUAUUUGAUGUUUUUUUCUUCUACAGAUGAAAUUGUCAAAUUGUGCUUAUAGCAAUGUCAUCAUCAAAGACAAAAACACACUCACAUCACAUAGAUGUAAAAUGGGCUUUGACGUGCCCCAAAAGGGUAGAAUUUAGAAAAUGGAACAAUCUCUCAUACAGCCCUGUUAUUUACAGAUAAGGAAACUGAGUCCCAAAGAUAUCGUGUGACUUGCCUAAGGUCACACAGUAGUAAGUUAAUUCUUCCUUGAUUGUGAGAAUUGAGGCUUUGGGCAGUACUGAAGAGAUUAUGAUUAUCAUUACUGUUAUUCUUUUCUUCUUCCAGUAUAUUUGCUGGGAAAAUGCUUAUUUGGUCUUUUUCUUGAUGGGGUGAAAAAACUAUGUCUAAAGUAAAAGAAUACAAUUUGUAUUUGGCUCCUGUUGUAUUUAACAGUCGUUUUAGGAUGCAGGGCUUGUCAUAGUGCCUAUUUUAAGGCUCAAAUACAGAGACUAGGCUGAAAUCUCACUAUUCUCUCAUCAGAAUAACUGGAAUGCGCCCAGAUACUUGGCCAUUUCUAACUCUGCAUUCUUUGAGCUUCCCAGGCCUUCUCUUGUGCAUGUUGUAUUAUCUUUUCUGUCCACAAAGAUUUUGAAAAAUCAGCAGAGUACAAGUAGCCCCUGAAAUAAAGGCAUCAUUCAAGGAACAAACAAGUAGAAGGAGGGAUCCAAUUAAAAUGAUGAAAAUCUUUAAUUUUUAUUUAGUUAUAC